rnacentral:rRNA from 1 species
UACGUAGGUGGCAAGCGUUGUCCGGAAUUAUUGGGCGUAAAGCGCGCGCAGGCGGUUCCUUAAGUCUGAUGUGAAAGCCCCCGGCUCAACCGGGGAGGGUCAUUGGAAACUGGGGAACUUGAGUGCAGAAGAGAAGAGCGGAAUUCCACGUGUAGCGGUGAAAUGCGCAGAUAUCAGGAGGAACACCAGUAGCGAAGGCGGCACUCUGGGCCGGUACUGACGCUGAGGAGCGAAAGCGUGGGGAGCGAACAGG